rnacentral:rRNA from 1 species
AGAGUUUGAUCCUGGCUCAGGAUGAACGCUGGCGGUGUGCCUUAUGCAUGCAAGUCGAACGGGGAAGGAGCCGCAAGGCAACUUUCUAGUGGCAGAUGGGUGAGUAACACGUAGGUGACCUGCCCCCUUGAGGGGGAUAACUCUGAGAAAUCGGGGCUAAUACCGCAUGUGGUGGUGGGGGUAGUGCCUUAUCACUAAAGCCGCAAGGCGCAAGGGGAGGGGCCUGCGUCCGAUUAGCUAGUUGGUAGGGUAAUGGCUUACCAAGGCGACGAUCGGUAGCUGGUCUGAGAGGACGGGCAGCCACACUGGGACUAAGACACGGUCCAGACUCCUACGGGAGGCAGCAGUGGGGAAUUUUGGACAAUGGGCGCAAGCCUGAUCCAGCAAUGCCGCGUGCAGGAAGAAGGCCUUCGGGUUGUAAACUGCUUUUGUCAGGGAAGAAAUCUUCUGGGCUAAUACCCCGGGAGGAUGACGGUACCUGAAGAAUAAGCACCGGCUAACUACGUGCCAGCAGCCGCGGUAAUACGUAGGGUGCGAGCGUUAAUCGGAAUUACUGGGCGUAAAGCGUGCGCAGGCGGCUUUGCAAGACAGAUGUGAAAUCCCCGGGCUCAACCUGGGAACUGCAUUUGUGACUGCAAGGCUAGAGUACGGCAGAGGGGGAUGGAAUUCCGCGUGUAGCAGUGAAAUGCGUAGAUAUGCGGAGGAACACCAAUGGCGAAGGCAAUCCCCUGGGCCUGUACUGACGCUCAUGCACGAAAGCGUGGGGAGCAAACAGGAUUAGAUACCCUGGUAGUCC